rnacentral:lncRNA from 1 species
CACACAGGGGCCUCGACAACUCGGGGAAGACGACGAUCGUGCUCAAGAUCAACGGCGAGGACACCAGCGUCAUCAGCCCCACCCUCGGCUUCAACAUCAAGACCAUCAAGUACCACCAUCAUCAUCAAGACCAUCAAGUACCACCAUCAUCAUCAAGACCAUCAAGUACCACCAUCAUCAUCAAGACCAUCAAGUACCAAAAGUGAGUGCCACAACCCUCGCCAUUUCGAUCUCCAUUCGAUCCUUUGUUGCGUAUGUGCGUGCUGUGAAUCGGGGGUGGAUUAGGGUUUGAUCGCGG